AGUCUUAAUUGGGCGUUAAGUUGCAGGGUAUAGACCCGAAACCCGGUGAUCUAGCCAUGGGCAGGUUGAAGGUUGGGUAACACUAACUGGAGGACCGAACCGACUAAUGUUGAAAAAUUAGCGGAUGACCUGUGGCUGGGGGUGAAAGGCCAAUCAAACCGGGAGAUAGCUGGUUCUCCCCGAAAGCUAUUUAGGUAGCGCCUCGUGAAUUCAUCUCCGGGGGUAGAGCACUGUUUCGGCUAGGGGGCCAUCCCGGCUUACCAACCCGAUGCAAACUGCGAAUACCGGAGAAUGUUAUCACGGGAGACACACGGCGGGUGCUAACGUCCGUCGUGAAGAGGGAAACAACCCAGACCGCCAGCUAAGGUCCCAAAGUCAUGGUUAAGUGGGAAACGAUGUGGGAAGGCCCAGACAGCCAGGAUGUUGGCUUAGAAGCAGCCAUCAUUUAAAGAAAGCGUAAUAGCUCACUGGUCGAGUCGGCCUGCGCGGAAGAUGUAACGGGGCUAAACCAUGCACCGAAGCUGCGGCAGCGACACUCAGGUGUUGUUGGGUAGGGGAGCGUUCUGUAAGCCUGUGAAGGUGUGUCGUGAG
rnacentral:rRNA from 1 species